UACGUAGGGUGCAAGCGUUGUCCGGAAUUAUUGGGCGUAAAGAGCUCGUAGGCGGUCUGUCGCGUCGGAUGUGAAAACCCAGGGCUCAACCCUGGGCCUGCAUUCGAUACGGGCAGACUAGAGUUCGGUAGGGGAGACUGGAAUUCCUGGUGUAGCGGUGAAAUGCGCAGAUAUCAGGAGGAACACCGGUGGCGAAGGCGGCGUUCUGGACUGCAACUGACACUGAGGAACGAAAGCCAGGGGAGCAAACGGG
rnacentral:rRNA from 1 species